GAAUUGCGAUAUGUAAUGUGAAUUGCAGAAUUCAGUGAAUCAUCGAAUCUUUGAACGCACAUUGCACCCUUUGGCAUUCCAAAGGGUAUGCCUGUUUGAGUGUCAUUUAAAAUUCUCAAUGUCAAGCUUUAUGAUUGGCUUGCAUUGGAUUAUGAGGGCUCUGCAGGCUCUUUUCUAGAGUCAGCUCCCUUGAAAUGUAUGAGCAGCUGUGGAGUGCGCAGCUUUAGUGUGGUAAAAUGUCAUUUUAUCUAAACUGUUGCUGAGGAGCUCUGUCUGCUAUCCAAUUGUCCUUUGCUUGAGGACUGUCUUUUUUGAAGGCAAGCACCUUGACAUUUGACCUCAAAUCAGGUAGGAUUACCCGCUGAACUUAA
rnacentral:misc_RNA from 1 species